GGAAAUGGAAAACCGAAAAAAACCGAAAACCGAAAUUUAGGCCCAGUAUAUAAGGAAAAAAAAAAAACCCUAACCCUCAUUCUCUGAUUCUCUCUCCUGACUUCCUCAAUCCUCAGUUCGCCUCUUCCUCACUCCAACCCACCUAACCCUCAUUGCGAAUUUCUCAGUCUCUCACCCUCACCUUCUCAGUUUCUCAAUCAUCUCUUUUGUGUUUCUCAGAAUUCUCACUCUCCAAUUCUCCAUCGUUCACCGGCACAGCGCACUCGUUCAGGCGUUCACUGUGACACCGUCCACCGUCCAAAGAUUGUUAUUCAACCACGAAUUAUUGAAUGACAACCAACGUGGGUGGUGUUCCUGACCAGCCUCAAUCCGAACAUGAGACUGACCAAGUCUCUCAAAAUCAGAAAAAAGAACAGGGAGCAAAAAGGAAGAGGAUGAAAGAACGCUCUGAAGUUUGGGAGCACUUUGAUAAAGAAGACUUACCUUCUGGAAUGCAGGCAAUUUGCAAGUAUUGUGGGAUGAGCUACAAGUGUGGGGCAAAGAAAAACGGCACUAGUGUGUUAUGGGCUCAUAUUUCGCGAUGUCACUUGCUACUGCCUUGCUCUAUCACUGCUUUUGCUGCUGACCUGCUGUUAUGAUGCUGCUGCUGCCCUGCUGCUUGUUGCUACUUGGUCUAUGCUGCUUGUUGCUACUUUUUUUACUGCCUUUUAGAACUUGGUCUAUGCUGCUUGUUGCUACUGCUGUUAAACAAUUGUUAAAGUUGUAAUGUUGAACAAUUUUUUUUUUUUUUGGAUGAAGUGUUGAACUUUUAAAACUUUGAAUUAUAACUUUGAAGUUUUAGAACUUGUUAAUGUUGUUUAAAUCUCAUUAAGCAUUUAUGCUACUACA